CGAAGUAAGAAAGGGCGUACGGUGGAUGCCUAGGCUCUCACAGGCGAUGAAGGACGUGAUAAGCUGCGAUAAGCUUCGGGGAGGUGCAAAUGACCUUUGAUCCGGAGAUUUCCGAAUGGGACAACCCGGCAGGCUGAAGGCCUGUCAUCCGAUGCAUAUCGGAGGCAAACGCGGGGAACUGAAACAUCUUAGUACCCGCAGGAAGAGAAAAUAAAAAUGAUUCCCCUAGUAGUGGCGAGCGAACGGGGAAGAGCCCAAACCGCUGCGGUUCCGGCCGCGGCGGGGUUGUAGGACUGCGACAUCGAGAAGAAGAAGUGAGUGGAACGCGCUGGAAAGUGCGGCCAUAGCGGGUGAUAGCCCCUUACACGAAGCCUCUUUCAUCGUAGCAAUAUCCUGAGUAGCGCGGGACACGUGAAAUCCUGUGUGAAUCCGGCGGGCCCAUCCGCCAAGGCUAAAUACUCGUGAGAGACCGAUAGUGAACCAGUACCGUGAGGGAAAGGUGAAAAGCACCGCGCGUAGCGGAGUGAAAUAGUCCCUGAACCCGUACGCCUACAAGCGGUCGGAGCAACAUUAUGUUGUGACGGCGUGCCUUUUGCAUAAUGAACCUACGAGUUGCCGUCGCCGGCGAGGUUAAGCGCAAGGAUGCGCGCAGCCGAAGCGAAAGCGAGUCUUAAACGGGCGCAUAGUCCGCGGCGGCAGACGCGAAACCGAGUGAUCUACCCUUGUCCAGGCUGAAGUCCGGGUAACACCGGAUGGAGGGCCGAACCAAUAAGCGUUGAAAAGCUUCUGGAUGAGGUGAGGGUAGGAGUGAAAGGCCAAUCAAACUCGGAGAUAGCUCGUACUCCCCGAAAUGCAUUUAGGUGCAGCCCCCGUUGUUUCCUGCAUGAGGUAGAGCGACUGAUCGGAUGCGAGGGCUUCACCGCCUAUCAAGUCCGGACAAACUCCGAAUGCGUGCAGGUUAGAGACGGGGAGUGAGGGCAUGGGUGCUAAGGUCCGUGCCCGAGAGGAGAAGAAUCCAGACCGCCGGCUAAGGUCCCGAAUUACAGGUUAAGUUAGUCUAACGAAGUGUUGUCCCGAAGACAGCUAGGAUGUUGGCUUGGAAGCAGCCAUUCAUUCAAAGAGUGCGUAACAGCUCACUAGUCGAGGGACGUCGCAUGGAUAAUAAUCGGGUAUGAAAUCUGUAACCGAAGCCGCGGGAUGUCUUAAGACAUCGGUAGGGGAGCAUUCCACCGGCGUUGAAUGUCGAAGAUGACUUCGGCUGGAGCUUGUGGAAAAGCAAAUGUAGGUAUAAGUAACGAUAAAGAGGGUUAGAUGCCCUCUCGCCGAAAGACCAAGGAUUCCCGGGCAACGUUAAUCGCCCCGGGGUUAGUCGGGCCCUAAGGAUAAGCCGAACGGCGAGGCCGAUGGAAGAAACGGUUAAUAUUCCGUUACUGCCUUGCAUGGCGAUGUGGAGACGGAGAAGUGGAACUUCCGCGCACUGACGGAAACGUGCGUUGAAGAGUGUAGGCGCAGAUUGUGGUAGGUAAAUCCGCCGCGAGAGCCGAACUUGACAGUACGCAAAGCCUUCGGGCGGCGCGAUAGCGAAGGUAAUCAUGCUCCCGAGAAAAUCCGCUAAGCUUAACAUGCAAGGCACCCGUACCGUAAACGGACACACGUGGUCGGGUAGAAAAUACUAAGGCGCUUGGAAGAUUCACGGUUAAGGAACUAGGCAAAUUGACCCCGUACCUUCGGAAUAAGGGGUCCUCACAGCGAUGUGAGGCGCAGAGAAUAGGUCCAGGCAACUGUUUAACAAAAACACAGGGCUGUGCAAAAUUGAAAGAUGAAGUAUACAGCCUGACACCUGCCCGGUGCUGGAAGGUUAAGAGGAGAUGUCACCGCAAGGGAAGCAUCGAAUUGAAGCCCCAGUAAACGGCGGCCGUAACUAUAACGGUCCUAAGGUAGCGAAAUUCCUUGUCGGGU
rnacentral:rRNA from 1 species